rnacentral:ncRNA from 1 species
UGGGAAUAUGAAAUGAGAGCAGGACAGCACUCCCCUUGGUUAGGAUAGAAGAAGUCCUAAUGGACUUUUAAUCAUUUUUAAGACUGUCACAUACUUUGCGGCAUCUAACAUAUAAC